GUUUCUAAUUUAUGAAUUCUAGCUUUUACUUUUCUAAGUUAGCAAGAAAGUGGGAUUCUGAAUAAGAAAAAUAACUUUUGGAUACUUUUAGUAAUGUUGUUGAUUUUUAAAAAUUAUAAACAUGUUAGAGUUAAUUUUACACAUUUCUUAUUUGAAUCAGAAUAAUUAUCACAUUUAUUAAACAUUGAUAUAAACUAUAGAUGUAAUAAAAAUUGUUAUAUGUUAACAUAAAUAUUCAGGACAACUAGAAUUUGCUUUUCCAUGUAACCUUGAAAAUAUAUCUUAAUUUUGUUUCUUUAUUUUUAAUAUAUUAUGUGAUUUUUACAUUUUUUCUAACUCAAAACAUAUUAGAAAUGCUAGUUUAAGUUCUGCUUCCUUGAUCACAUUAAACAAAAAUACCAAUUUUGGUUAAUUUCUUAAUGCAUACAUCUUCACUAAUAAAUAUUUGAUGAGAAUUUACCUUCUUGUGAUGUAUAUGUCAAUCAUCAAGAAGUAUAAACAUGAUGAGACCAGAGAUUAUUUGAAGGUUGUUUAGUUUCAGUUAAAUAAAGUUAUUCUUGACUCUGCAA